rnacentral:lncRNA from 1 species
GGCUGAUUAUGUAAAUCCAACCCACAGAGAUGUUGAUUAAAGCUGAGUGACACAGCUGACUUCGCUUACUAAUCAGCAGCCCCGUGGGUUGUGUUCAUUGGGCACCAAACGGUUGAAAAUGGAAUAAAAACAGGGCGGGACUAUCCAACCUGUCCAAUGAGGAACACUAAUUUCCACUCCUCUUUGUAAAAAAAGUUUUAAAAUGUUUUUCUGUUAUGUGUCCUAAUGAACACAACCCUGCUGGGCGUGCAACUCUUCUUUAGGCACAGUCGGGCCAAGAUGUCUUUUGUAAACACAGGACCAGGAAAAAUGGCGUCACAGAGAAAACACAGGUCCUGCAGUAACGAUUCCACCACCGAGUGUCUCCCGCAAGAGCGCUGUGGUACUAGUAGUGGGCGUUUCGGUCCCAUUCACAUCCUGUCUGCACAGGGCUGCUUGACCCCUGACCUCUGUAACUCCACCCAUGCCGUGACCUACCGAGGGGUCAGCUAUAACGUGACAUACAGGUGUUGCUGUCGUGACCAGUGUAACCAGCCUCCAGCCUCUGAUACCUACAUUAAGAGGCUGUUAGGAGUGACUUUGGGGCACGGUGAGAAGCCUCCUACCGCGACGGACCCUCUGGAUAGAUGCCCUGGAGAUGAUGACGUUGCGGAGGAUGACACCGUCACUCGGCUACAUGGAGAAAACAACAUGAAUUCCAUCUAUAAAGUCCUCUCAGAUCUCCAGGAGUGGCUAAAGAGUAGAAGCUAGGGGUCCGCCUGGAAUUCAGCCCUACUUGUUGCUGGGGGCAGGCCUGUUAGCCACAGUCACUGUCCCCACCCUCAUGCAAGGGAUGACACUUUAUCAAAUACAUUUUAUUUCCGGUGUAAAUGUGCUUAUUUAUUCAAUUAUUUGUAAUAACUUAUGUAAUGUGUAAUCUAUAUUUUAGUGAUGUUGCUAUAUUGACACAUGGUAAAAGAUGCAGUUCUCAGUGUGGUAGCUGGUGAAUGGCGUGAAUAAAGAGAGCAUGUUGAACUUA